GUGGGUAUAGCUCAGUGGUAGAGUGGAUGCUUAGAAUGUAUAAGGUCCUGGAUUAAAUCCCCAGUGCCUCUA
rfam:Camelus ferus unplaced genomic scaffold scaffold518, whole genome shotgun sequence.